GGACCGCUGCCGCCAAGUGUUUUCGCUGGCACAAGUCCCUGUGGCUAGCCUUCCCCUUGAAGUCUGGCCAGCCUCUCUUGCCGUUAAUCCUGUCCGGGGCCCCCAUCUUAGUCUCUCUGCCGCCAUCUCCUUCUGCACUGCCGCCAUCUUACUACCUGCUUCCUCACUGCCGCCAUCUUACUUCCUUUUUUCUCUGCUGCCAUUUUAGUUCUUCUGCCACCAUUCGGCUGCCAUUUUAAUUCCCAUUAGUUCCCAUUUGUUCUUUUAACCCUGCCCAGCUAACUCCUUGGCUUCCAUCUUACCCGCAUUCUUAUUUCCACCUGCCUAUAGUGCCAUACCAGUCCACUGCAUCUACAACUCCUAACACAUUCGCUGCGGGCAGUGAUAUCCACUAAUCCUGGAUGAGGCAGCGGAGGGCCCCCAAACCCCUAUCCAGGACUUAGUAAAGCUGGCGUUCAAAGUUUUUAAUUCCUGAGAGGAGGCGGCUGAGGUACAACGACAGGCAAGCCUGAAACAAAAAGUUCAGCUCCAAACCCAAGCCCUGGCAGCUGCCCUGCAACCGGCAUUCCCUAAGAGCCGCGGCAGGAGAGGUAGAGGUACAAUCUCCCGGGCCCCGUCUGGCGUCUGCUUCAAGUGAGGCAACUCAGGACACUGGGCCAGCCGGUGCCCUAGCCAACAGCAACCGUCCUGCCCGCCUUGCAACUGUUUCAAGUGUGGCAAUCCAGGUCAUUGGGCAAAACAGUGCCCAAACCCCAAGCCGCCAACACACCCGUGCCCUAACUGCCAACAAAUGGAGCACUGGAGGUCAGACUGCCCCAGCCUCGGAGCGGCCGCUGUGGCUCCACAUGGCGACCCCUCCCUGGAUGGCGAAGGUGCCCUCUAGCUCCUCCAACUGGAUGACGACUGAAGAGGCCCAGGCUCGGGAACCCCUCUCACCCUUGCCGAGCCCAGGGUAAUGCUUCAGGUAGCGGUCAAACAGGUGACAACCACACUUGGCGUUAACUGGAAGCUACACACUCCAUACCAUCCGCAGUCUUCUGGAAAAGUGGAAUGCGCCAACGGCCUUGUCAAACAACACCUAAUCAAAUUGGCUCUCGAGAAGCGCCAAUCGUGGAUCAACUGAGAUGCAAAACCCAUGUUCACAUCAUGAGUGAGUCUUCUAACUCGGACAAUGCAAUCAACAAAUUCUAAGACCAAAUUCCGGUGGCACUGGCUCCAAAGCUCCUGAGUGUGGAAGGAGGUGAACAGGGAAAAGCAGAGAGGACAAAAGUCACAUCCCCUCCCCACAGACCCAUACUGGGGAAGGGUGGAAGAUUUAGCUGCGAGUCAAGUUCAGAAUUUUGAUUAACAUCUUGGCAUGCACAUUCGAAUUUCAGAAUCAAGACUGUUGGCCAUAAAAAAUGACUAUAGCCUUGUGUAUUACCUGAACUGAGCAGUAAAAAAAAAGUCAUGGUC
rnacentral:lncRNA from 1 species